CAGUCGAGCGGAUGAGAAGAGCUUGCUCUUCGAUUCAGCGGCGGACGGGGUGAGUAAUGCCUAGGAAUCUGCCUGAUAGUGGGGGACAACGUUUCGAAAGGAACGCUAAUACCGCAUACGUCCUACGGGAGAAAGCAGGGGACCUUCGGGCCUUGCGCUAUCAGAUGAGCCUAGGUCGGAUUAGCUAGUUGGUGAGGUAAUGGCUCACCAAGGCGACGAUCCGUAACUGGUCUGAGAGGAUGAUCAGUCACACUGGAACUGAGACACGGUCCAGACUCCUACGGGAGGCAGCAGUGGGGAAUAUUGGACAAUGGGCGAAAGCCUGAUCCAGCCAUGCCGCGUGUGUGAAGAAGGUCUUCGGAUUGUAAAGCACUUUAAGUUGGGAGGAAGGGCAUUAACCUAAUACGUUAGUGUUUUGACGUUACCGACAGAAUAAGCACCGGCUAACUCUGUGCCAGCAGCCGCGGUAAUACAGAGGGUGCAAGCGUUAAUCGGAAUUACUGGGCGUAAAGCGCGCGUAGGUGGUUUGUUAAGUUGAAUGUGAAAGCCCCGGGCUCAACCUGGGAACUGCAUCCAAAACUGGCAAGCUAGAGUACGGUAGAGGGUGGUGGAAUUUCCUGUGUAGCGGUGAAAUGCGUAGAUAUAGGAAGGAACACCAGUGGCGANNNCGACCACCUGGNCUGAUACUGACA
rnacentral:rRNA from 1 species